ACAUGCAAGUCGAACGCACUCUCGUUUAGAUUGAAGGAGCUUGCUCCUGAUUGAUAAACAUUUGAGUGAGUGGCGGACGGGUGAGUAACACGUGGGUAACCUGCCCUAAAGUGGGGGAUAACAUUUGGAAACAGAUGCUAAUACCGCAUAAAACCUAACACCGCAUGGUGUAGGGUUGAAAGAUGGUUUCGGCUAUCACUUUAGGAUGGACCCGCGGUGCAUUAGUUAGUUGGUGAGGUAAAGGCUCACCAAGACCGUGAUGCAUAGCCGACCUGAGAGGGUAAUCGGCCACACUGGGACUGAGACACGGCCCAGACUCCUACGGGAGGCAGCAGUAGGGAAUCUUCCACAAUGGACGAAAGUCUGAUGGAGCAACGCCGCGUGAGUGAAGAAGGUUUUCGGAUCGUAAAACUCUGUUGUUGGAGAAGAAUGUAUCUGAUAGUAACUGAUCAGGUAGUGACGGUAUCCAACCAGAAAGCCACGGCUAACUACGUGCCAGCAGCCGCGGUAAUACGUAGGUGGCAAGCGUUGUCCGGAUUUAUUGGGCGUAAAGCGAGCGCAGGCGGUUUCUUAAGUCUGAUGUGAAAGCCUUCGGCUCAACCGAAGAAGUGCAUCGGAAACUGGGAAACUUGAGUGCAGAAGAGGACAGUGGAACUCCAUGUGUAGCGGUGAAAUGCGUAGAUAUAUGGAAGAACACCAGUGGCGAAGGCGGCUGUCUGGUCUGUAACUGACGCUGAGGCUCGAAAGCAUGGGUAGCAAACAGGAUUAGAUACCCUGGUAGUCCAUGCCGUAAACGAUGAGUGCUAGGUGUUGGAGGGUUUCCGCCCUUCAGUGCCGCAGCUAACGCAUUAAG
rnacentral:rRNA from 1 species